CCUACGGGAGGCAGCAGUGAGGAAUAUUGGUCAAUGGACGAGAGUCUGAACCAGCCAAGUAGCGUGAAGGAUGACUGCCCUAUGGGUGGUAAACUUCUUUUAUAUGGGAAUAAAAUGUUCCACGUGUGGGAUUUUGUAUGUACCAUAUGAAUAAGGAUCGGCUAACUCCGUGCCAGCAGCCGCGGUAAUACGGAGGAUCCGAGCGUUAUCCGGAUUGAUUGGGUUUAAAGGGAGCGUAGGUGGUUUGUUAAGUCAGUUGUGAAAGUCUGCGGCUCAACCGUAAAAGUGCAGUUGAAACUGGCAGUCUUGAGUGCAGUAGAGGUGGGUGGAAUUCGUGGUGUAGCGGUGAAAUGCUUAGAUAUCACGAAGAAUUCCGAUUGCGAAGGCAGUUCACUGGACUGCAACUGACGCUGAGGCUCGAAAGUGUGGGUAUCAAACAGGAGUAGAUACCCUUGUAGUC
rnacentral:rRNA from 1 species